rnacentral:misc_RNA from 1 species
CGCCGAGCAGUUUUCCGGUUCAUCUUGCCGGAGAAGUUGAAGCCGUUGGCUGCUCCAAGUCAGGUGUUUAACUCCAAAUCAUCUAUGGAUUCCAAUGAAAAUGGGCUUCCUCAGAUCACUCCUUGUGAUACUGGUGGUGAUAAUGAAAUAGCUGGUGUGGAUAACGGAGAAGAAGAACAUGGCUCGAGCAAGAGAAGAUCAAGCUCUAAGCACAGUUCCCGUGAUUAUGAGGGCGAAAGAGAAUCUUCAAGAAGCAGAGACAGAGAGGGGGAUAAAGGACGUGAUAAGGACAGAGGUAGGAGCAGAGACAGAGAUAGAGAUCAGGAAAAAGAUCGUGAUCGUCGCCACAGUUAUCGUAGCGAGAGGCAUAAGACUAGAGGUAGAGAUGAUGAUGCUAACGUUUCUGAUGGUGGUCCUGAGAGCCGGGAGUACUGGCAGAAAGAUUAUGAUAGAGAGAGGGAUGAGAGGCACAAACAUAGGUCAAAAUCUUAUGAGAAAGAGCGGGAGGAAGGGCAUAGACACAGGUCCAAAUCAUAUGACAAGGAUAGAGAGGAAAGGGAUAGGCACAGAUCAAAAUCCUAUGACAAAGAUCGAGAGGAUAGGCACGGACGCAGAUCUCACUCAAGGGGAACAUCUAGUCGUAGGUCCAGAUCACGUUCUCGAUCACGGUCUCGUUCACGCUCCAAAAGCAAAAGGGUCAGUGGGUUUGACAUGGCACCUCCUACUUCUGCUCUGUUAUCUGGUGCUCCUGCUCUUACAGGUACUUGCUUAUUUUCUUAUAUAUUGGCAAUAUUUUGGUAACUGUUAUUUUGUUU